UACUUGGAGUUGCUCUAUAUUGGGUUACAGUGUGGCAAAAUGGCGGCUGUCAUUCAGAAUCCACUCAAAGCGCUUGGCGAUCAGUUCUACAAGGAGGCCAUUGAGCACUGUCGCAGCUACAAUGCCCGCCUGUGUGCCGAACGCAGCGUCCGCCUGCCCUUCCUGGACUCCCAGACCGGCGUGGCGCAGAACAACUGCUACAUCUGGAUGGAGCGCCGCCAUCGGGGGCCAGGAUUGGCAGCGGGACAGAUGUACACCUAUCCGGCCCGCUGCUGGAGAAAGAAGAGGCGGUUGCACACCCCCGUGGACCCUCAGCUGCGACUGUGUGAACUCAGACUUGAGGGGGAGCUGGCACCCAAGAAAGAGCCCUUGCCCAUGGAAGGCACCACCUUAGAGGCACUGCUGAGAGGCGAGAGCCUGGAGAGGAAGAGCAGCAACAACAACUCCAAGGAGGAAGAGAGUCUGCUGGAGAUCCAGAGGGUCCUAGAGGCAGAAGAAAAUGGAGAUGGUUUCCAUGACGAUGAAGACUUUGAAGUGGACACUCCGAAAAGGAAGCAUAGAAACAAGGGCCGGGGGCGAGGCUCUGGACGCAGGAAGGCGGAGGCAGCUGCUGUGGAUGAUCAGGACAAGCCAUAUGUCUGUGACAACAGAUACAAACAAAAGCAUAACUCAAAAACUACGGCCUCAGUCUGUGGGAAGCGCUACAAGAACCGUCCGGGCCUGAGCUACCACUAUGCCCACACCCACCUGGCAGAGGAGGAGGGUGAGGACGAGAGGGACUCAGAGCCAGCCCAGUCUCCACCCGCUCACUGCCCCGACAACCACAAACCUCAGAAGGGCCCCGAUGGCACGGUUAUUCCCAAUAACUACUGUGACUUCUGCCUGGGCGACUCCGGCUCCAACAGGAAAACGGGCCAAGCGGAGGAGCUGGUGUCCUGCUCUGACUGCGGCCGCUCUGCUGGACGCAUUGGAGGGAGAGACGAGAGGAAGAUGGGCGGGGCCGAGGAAUUGUUUGGCGCCACGUCUGAAAGCGACGCGUCCACAUUUCACGGCUUCGACGACGAUGAAUUUGAUGAGCCCUUGUCGAACGGCAGCGUGGCAUCCCCUCGGUGCAGAUAGAAAACAGAAACAACCUUACAAAAAAAGACAGAAAAAAAAAAGACAGAAACCUCUGACAAAAGUCUGCUGCUUCUUUUUUAAUUGAUUUUUGUUUUUAGUGGAAAGCACAACUGUUCUCUUCAGAAGAGGAAAGCAAUUGUUAUUUUUAUCUUUAGUGGAAAACUUCUGCUUUUUAAUAAGUUAGGAAUAUCAUUAUUUUUAUGUAAACUCUGAAAAACAAAGAGCAAUGGACAGUGUCUGCCAGUGACUGUGUAAAACAGAAGAAUCUGUACUUUGGAUUUUUUUUUUCCCUGGAGGGGGAAAUGCAGUUAUUUUACACAAAAAAAACUAAACUAUGGAACAUUUGGAUUUAACUGUACAGUGUGAUGUAGGACAGACCUGCCAGCGAAGUGGGAUUUAAUUUAAAACAAUGAAUAAAAAGACUAUCGGGGGAAACGUAAUUAAUGUCAAAAGGAACCAGCUUCUUUUGUGCGACUGAGAAGUCUGGGCAGAAGAAAACAAGGCUUAAUGGAACCAUUUUGAACACGGCCCCUGACACGGUGAAGAAGAGGGCUCCUGCUGUCUUUACCUCUGGAUUGCAAUAAUGUGAAAGUGAAGGAAUAAGUGACUUCUUGGGGGAGAGAUUUUGGCUUGGCAUUGCCAUGGAGAGAGCGGGAAACCGCAGUGGGGGUCCUGGUGGAGGGAGAGAGGGAAGGCGUGCCUGGCUGAGGGCAGUUAGCUGAAAGGAACGCUGACUCAUGAGUGAUCAGCCAGUAGGACAGGAAUCAACAGGAAUCCGCCACAGACUCUGCUCCCUGGCGCCCUGGCCCCCUCACACCCCCCUUCCAUGGACCGCAGGAACCUCCAGUACAGAUCAACUCUCCCACUGUCCUGCUCUGCCUUUGCAGAUAAGCAGACAGACAGACAGACACUUUCCCGAGCACGUGCAAUAAAGUCCCAGACGCCCUGGUAUUUAGAAGAAGUGUACCCCCUACCCGUCCCAGGCUGAGUUGGGACUCAGACUUUGAAGAUGACUAAAGCAAUUAUGACAAAAGAAAAAUGAAUUAUAAAAAUAAAUCUGAGCACGUUUCAGGCAGCCAUGCCCACAGCCGUUUUAAACACUUUUGUUUUCAGCCUUCUGAUCUAGAAAUUUAAGAAAUCUUUAGUUAAAAUAAGAGACACUGAAGAGCAUUUUGUAACAUCACUGGAAGGCCAUAGUAAGAGGAUCAGUAGGCAUCUGCAUUUCCUGCAUUGCAUGCUUCUCUCCUUGUUUGCCCACAUCCUUAUUUGCUACGAAGAAUAGCAAAAAAAGCCAGUCAAAAGACCUUUUGUUCAGCGUUAUGCAAGAGAAGCAACCCUUUGUCAGUCAAACUGCUUUAAAAACUCUGUUUAAAUGGUGUAGAAAUGGAGAAUUCCAUACGAUAUUGUGAUCUCCUCUUGUGAACUGCUUGGCUUCUUCUCAUCGCCUCCAGAGAAUCUGCCUGCUCAUAAAUUCUUACCAGAAUAUUUUUUUUUUCCAGAAGGACAGCAGAAAUCCCUAGCAGAAAUGUCAGGGGAGGGAGAGUGUACGCUUGUAGAAUUGUGUCAGUGAGCAGAAGCUUCUCAGAAGAGACAGAAGGAGUUUUGAAAAAUAUCUUGCUUUGAAAAUCUGUAAGGAUUCCCAGUAAUGGCUUAUUUAUGGUAGUUGUAAGAAGUGGAGACCAUCUCCGGUUCCUCUCAGCGAGUAAUGGACCAGCUCAGAGUUAAAAAUAAUAAAUAAAUAAAUAAAAAUCCACAGAGACGGCACGUCAACCUGUCUCUUCCGAAUGGAAAAUGCCAACUAGAUGGGAAAUGCAAACCGACACGGCACUGUAUAAAUGCCGGCAGUUUGCUUUGGCUGCCCCCGAUCAGGAAAGGUUACAGCUCAGGACGCGGUUCCUAAAUGUCACUGCUGGACCGUGUGCCCCCACCAUUGUAUGCUGUCGCCCAUUCCUCUGGGCCCGCACCAUCUGCCCUGACAUAUCGGAGUCAAAAGGCUUGACGCUGGGCUUGGCCUCGCCUUGGACAAGAAGCCAAGCCUUGACACCCGGAUCUGCCCCUGCUCCGCUCUACGAAGUCCUGCAACUGCAAUGUCACUGAGCUGUCCAACAGAGAGAGUGGCUCCUGAGAACCCGCUGAAAAUGGCCCCUGUCUCCAAACAUGGGGAUCGUAGUUCAUAUUUCUGAUAUGACUGUGAGCGGGUACAUAUGGACAAUAGCCAAGCCACUGUGAAACAUGAUAAUGCUAAGGGGAAAGAUUUGUUUUUGCUGGUGGGGGAGUCCAUGUGGGUGAUACAAGUCUUCACAAUAGGAGUACCAGUGAUUUGAAGUGUUUUGGAAAAUAGCAUCAAACCCACUUUGUCUUUCACCCUGUAUUUUGGAACUCUCUUGAAAAUUAUUUUCUUGUUGGUGAUCUCUUACAACACUGGAUCUGCUGACUUUGUUUAGCGUGGUGUUCCAGAUUCAUUUAGGUUUUCCCAGUACAUUUAUUUGUUUCUCAACCUCAGUAGAUACUCAGGCAUUUUAGAGCUAUUGAAGUUAUGUAAACUGUGCCGUAUCUCAGAUUUAAAUAUAAUCAAUUGUCAAAGAAGUAAAUCUCUUGAAAAGGAAAUGGGUCUUCCAAAAUUCCAAUAGGUUUACCAUUCAGUCUGUAUAGAUUCAAUCUAGUGUUCUCUUGUGUGUUCAAAAGUACAAUAGGACUUCAUCAUGACUUCUUUUUGUCUCUUGGUAGACUGUCCAGAAUUACAAUUGCAAUAUUUUGUAAAUGCGGGUUUUCUCUUUCUUGUUAGCCAUUUCACAUUUAAUCCUAAUCCCCACAGUGCAUAGGUUACUCACCUUUGAACCCUCUGUAAAAUAAGCCAUUAUAAUGGGAAAGAAAAGGACGUAUAAUGCCAUCCACUUGAAAGGGGAAGACCGUAUGUUGAUUAAAAAUAUAUAUUGACAAUGUUCUUAAUGAAUUUAAGUCAGUGAAUUAUAAAUCCUGAGAGUGAAUGCAAAAGAAAAUAAUUCAAAUACCAAGGGGUAUUCCUCUCAGGAAAUGCAUAUAUUGCAUUGUGAAUGAUUAAAUACUACAGCUUGUAAACUUAAGCCACCAUAGGGAUAAACUGCAAGACAAAUCAACUGAGGAAACUCAGCACUGUAUGGAUCCGUCCUCAAUUACCACUGCUGUCAAAACACUGGACUGUUCCAUUCUUUUUGGUGCUUAUAAUAAUGACAUGGAAUGAAAUCCAAAGUCAAAUAUAACAAUGGAUGUGCAAUGUGACUACAAUGCAGCUGUUAACCCCCUGCAAAUCAAAUAUUAUUUUCUGGAACAUAACUGUAUUGAUUUUCUUAAUUGAGCAACCAUGAACAGUUAUGUUAAGGUUUUGAGUCAUAGCCUGUAAGUCACUGAAAGGUUUGCAUUCAUACUUGCAAUUACAACAUGAGCCAUAGUAUUUGCUGCUGUCUUAUUUGUCCAUGUUGGUUUUGGGUUUUCUCAGGAUUAGUAAAGUGUAGCUCAUUAUCUUUCUCUCUCUGGGUUCUGAGCCCUGUAAAAUAUCAGCUCAUUGAAAGUAAAUGGCCUUGCAUAAACAGGACCGUUCUUUUGGAACAGAUUUUCUAAGGCAUCAAGCUGAGGAGCCGGAAUUUCUGUUAUCUCAUUCCUCACCCCAGUAAAUCCAAAACUUCUUGGCUUGAUAUAAAUGGAUUGUUCUGUGCUGUCCUAAGACAGGUCAGAUGGUGUCCUCCUGUCUAAUUAAGAUUCAACAUACUCUGAGGUCUCUGUGGGUGGGGAAGAUUGCAUUUUCAGACAGGAAUAAUCCAUGUAUCAUUGGUUUGUAGAUGACAGAUGUAAUGGACUUAAUGUGUAUCAUCCUGUGGGGAAACUUCUGAAGGCUUUCAACUUUAUCCCACCGACACUGAAGGAAAGGGCUAAAUCUGUGGCUAUGGAAGCAAAUCAUGAUAUGAUUUUAUUGUAUUUGUUAAUGCUGUAUUGGCUUGUCCUUGAGUGGCUUGCAUACCUUACAUAUACCCAUACACUGAAGUAAUUCCUAGAAAGGAUUCCUGUUAAAGGAUAUUUGACAAAUGAAGUUUAAACCCACUGUUUACUCGACCAUUUCCUUAACCACUAUGCUACACCGCUGUCUUUAUUUGAUCAUAAACAUUGCAUUUUUACUUAUGCUACUUGCAGUCUUUUACUAUAGUGAGAGGAGUGAACCCUAUGAUUAUGUUGGAUGCCAGUGCAGGAUGGGCAAUGUGCAGUAAUUGGCAGAUUCUUACAGAUUCUAGAUGUUUCUCAGCUGAUGGUCGUAUAAAAAUAAAAUAAAAAAGCUGCCGAAAACAUUUUGGACAUCACAUUCUGUCUCGAUGUAAGCUAGAGGUGGAAACUGCAAACGUUUUCUUUGGAGAAAACCAAAAUGCACCUCAGCUAACGGCACACAAGCUUGUGGCCAAAGCGGUGCUAGAACAGGUGUUGAAACCAGCGUCUUCACCUCUGCUUGACAUCUGGUCUUUGAUGAGUCAUGGGAAAUGUAGAGAUGGCACACCACAAAAAGAUCAGUAAGAUUGUAAGAUACUGCAGACUACUUGUCAAAAUACAUUCUCUUGUUAAUUCACUGGAAAAAGGUCAACAGGUUCCAGGGCAGCCAUUCCUGGUGCCUGUGUAGACCAGUCAGCGUGGGCAUGGUCCAUUUGACGUGCUACACAGGGGAAAAGUCUGACAUGUAAGAGCUGAGUGGUGGAAGCAUUGCAUAAAAAAGCAAUACAACCUUUGCAUAUGUCAGCAACCUUUAUGCGAUGCAUUACAAAAGGUGACUCGAAACAGUUUACGGAUGAAUAAUAAGAGAUGCUGAGGGCUGGCAAAUUCUUCUCACGUCUCUGGACAGGUUAAGAACAUCUCAUCUAGAGCUUUGACAGUGCAGGAGUUAGUUGACUUGGCAGUUUUCUCAUGUCUGUAGCACUCAGUUGCAGCUAUAGUUAUAGUGAAACCUUGCAACAUGAGUCUAUCCCUUUGCAGGGUUCAUAUUUUCACUCUGUUAUGAGAUCGCCCCGGGCUAUCACGGAGCGUACUGGUGGGCCAAAUAAAAUGUCAGUUAUUAGCUUGUCCCCUGUCCACAUACAAUGCUAAUGUGAAGGAGGGAUGUCUUAAGUGGCCCUUGUCAUCCUUGUCAUAACAAACGAUCUGAUUAGCACACUGAGUUAAAGACCAAGGUCCCUUGAUGGGGGACUACCUUCAAUAGAGGACACUGUCUAUGCGGAGCUCCAUAAUUCUGUCAGGUCAAAUAAAAUUAGCCUUGUUAACAGCAGGAACAAACAAACCCAUUUAUUAAUCCUCAGUCAUUAAGUUGUUAUAGAGCUUUAUAAUCUGGAAUCACCAAUCGCUCGUGUAAAGGUGGGCAGAGGUGACGGAAAGUGACAGUUGGACAGGGCAAGCUUUUUAGUGAUUGUUUUUAAAAGCAUCAAGGUGCUAUGCGAGCUGUGAACUGUUUGUAAAACCCGUGUCAGUUCAGAUAUGCGCCAGGAACUGAGUUUUGACCCACUUUGGAAGCUGCAUGUGGCCUUCCAGUCUGCAAGGUAUUGUCAGGGCUGUAUAUCACCAUGGCGCUCAGCCAGGUUGAUCUGCUGCCAAGCUAAAGCGCAGCACAGCACCGCUGCUUUUCGCAUUAAGCGCCACAGGAAGUGGUCAUGCUCGCCUGUUUGUAAGUGUGCAGCCGUUUGCUCGUCUUUGCUCACGCGCUUGCACACACUUUCUCCUUCUCUCUCAGCCUCUUGUAUGGCAGUGGAAAGCUUGGUAUGUGCAUGAUAGUGCUCCAGUCUGGUUUUAUAUUAGGCUUGUUAUCCUGAGCAAUACCAGGCUGCGUUAUCAACCGCCCUAAAGUUGGAAGUGCUGAAGGAAAGGGAGGAAAGAACAGUGAUAGCCCCUGGCAUUACCCCGCAUUGUCCACAGUAACAUGUGCUAUAUCAACCAGAUUCAGGCUACGUGUAAUGCAUUCUUAGUGAAGACAUUCAGUUGCACGAUUUAUUUUAUUUCCUUGACUUUAGCAACGGUCUGUGUCACAAUCCUAUAUAAACAAGGGGAAAAAUGUCCACUCAAAAAAGUACUUGAUGACCUGUUUUCCAGUUGAAUUGUCACCGGAAUUGCAUGUAAAGAAUGUAACCCACAGGACUGUGCGUGCUCUUGUGUAAAGACAAAGGUUAAGGCCAUGCAGAUCAAAAUACAGGUAUUUCCACACACACACACACACACACACACACACACGCACACACACACAUGCAAAUACAUGCACACGUGUACUCACACACAUACACAUACGCAUAUACACACAGAAAGCUGUCAGACUGUUUCCUCAAAUACACCAAUGAAGCACACACUGCAUGGCCUUCCUCACUCGGCUUAAGCUGAAGUGAACCUCCAAGUUUCUUACUCUCCUGUUCCAUGACUUUUCCACGGGGGCUUAAGUGUUUCAACCAGUCAUCUUUGGCUAAGAAAAAAUGGGGUGAUCCCAGUCUCUGCAGUUGAGAAUAGUGUUUAUUUGCAAGCCCACAAAUAUUUAACCCCACAUGGAGACACUUAAGCAGCAGCACUGGGAACUCUUCUGGGUUCUUAGCAAUCUCAAUGAACCUCGUACAAUUGGGUUUAGUGCACUUGUGAGCAACAGUUGUCCUCACUGAACGAGGCCACGGAGGAUGUGUUAACAGUAGCAGAUGGUUUUCAAUGAAAUAUUGUACAGUCCUUAUACCUCUUAAAGGAGUCAAUGAAAGAUGCAGCUCAGUGGUUCCGCUUCAAGUUGUAGUGGAGCUGAAUUGAGAUGAGAAUGUCCGUUGUAAACUGAUUUUAUUUUCAAUUGUAAAUAACUGAAAUGGUAAAAAAAAAAAAGUCUUUGUUAGUGAAACUAUUUUUAUUGUAACAAAAGGAAAUAAAGAAUGAGACUCCUA